rnacentral:snRNA from 1 species
AUGUUCACUUUGGCAGCACAUACACUAAAAUUGGAAUGAUACAAAAAAGAUUAGCAUGGUCCCUCAGGAAGGAUGAUUUGCAAACUUGUGAAAUGUUCCUCGCCACC